GAGGGUGUAGCUCAAGUGGUAGAGCACGUGGUUAGCAUGCAUGAGGUCCUGUGUUCAAUCCCCAGUACCUCCU
rfam:Camelus ferus unplaced genomic scaffold scaffold1331, whole genome shotgun sequence.